rnacentral:rRNA from 1 species
UACGUAGGGGGCAAGCGUUGUCCGGAUUUAUUGGGCGUAAAGAGCGUGUAGGCGGCCUGACAGGUCUGCUGUGAAACUCGAGGCUCAACCUCGAGAUGUCGGCGGAAACCGUCUGGCUAGAGUCCGGAAGAGGAGAGUGGAAUUCCUGGUGUAGCGGUGAAAUGCGCAGAUAUCAGGAGGAACACCGGUGGCGAAGGCGGGUCUCUGGGCCGUAACUGACGCUGAGGAGCGAAAGCGUGGGGAGCGAACAGG